rnacentral:lncRNA from 1 species
AUGGGUUUAGGCUCAGGCUGUUUGGCAAAACUAAAAGGUGCAGUGGUGCCGGAGAGGGGCCGAGCUCAGCAUCAUGCAACACUCCCCAUUCUGCUCCCUGCUAUACGAGUCGCUGCUGAUGCUGUCCCAGGACUGCCCAGGAGCGCUUCCUCCAUCUUGCUGCACAGAUGGACUCAUCUCCCCAGGUCAAAGCCUGACUUGGACAGCCAGCACACUGACCACCCCGUCCCAUCUGGGGGCCCCCGUCAGUUCCUGCUUCUGACACCUCAUCUCCCCGUGGUGGCUCUGCCCUUGGAAAAACAGAUGGGAUCCUCCAGCAGAUGUGGGGAGAUGCUGGCAGCAUGGUGGGGAUUGAAACCCCCUUUGUGCUGUGGAUGCUGUCCGCAGUCAGCAUGGCAGAUGGGCCUGGGUGCCAUUUCUUUCCAGAGACCUCAUGCUGUCCCUGCACCCUCCCCAGCAGCUCUCCUCCAUGGCACUAUCCCACUGCUCCCCCAGCUCCAGCAACCAGCACUGGAAACUAUUUCAAAGCAGACCAAACAGCAAAGGCAGCCCCAGGAAUGCGCCAGCCAGGAGGGAGGCUUCAUGCCGUGGGCCCCCGGGUCAGAGCUCAGGAAUAGCAGUCCCAGCGGUGGCUGUGACAGCAUUUUGUGGAUAGCAGCUGGCUCUUAUGGCUCAAAGCAACCCUAAAACUGUCCAAACAAACCCUGAGCUCACGGCUUUCCCGACCCGUGUACAAUCCAUCACUGGCCCUGCUUUAUUGCAGGGUAUCACACAGCUGUGGUGCUCCCUGUGCUCCAGGGAAGGCCCCGAGCUAAGGGUGUGAGCAGCACUGCUCAUGGCAUGGCUGGCGGGGAGGGGGUGUGAGCUGCCCAGUGCUCCAGCAUCGUGCUGACACCCUCAUCCCUCUCUACUAAACCCAUCUGCACCCUGUAGGAUGACAGGCACGCAGGUGGGGUGAAGAUGGGACAGUGCCUGAUGGAGUUGAGCAAGGAGGUCACUGUCCUGUGAGCAGAGCACUGCAUCCUAAUAGGGGUGAGAAGCUGCAGAGGAAACGGAGCCUGGUCCAUACCCAUGAGCACCGCCAAAUAUCCCCAGUCCUCAUCCUUCUCUGCUUUCCGAGCAGCCCUGCUUCCCUCCUUGCCACACAACUUGCACUGCAAGAAGACCAGCACAGCCUGCGGGAUCCUCUCCAGCCCUGCCACCCGCAGCAGCUGCAGGAUGGAGCAGCUCGGUGGGACUUACUGCAAGCUGCGCCGUGUCCAGCCCGGCCCUGUGCCAGCCUGCAGAACCUCCCAGGUCCUUUUCCCCAUUAUAUUGCUAAGCAGGAUGCAAAUUAGCACCAGGACUUCUGAUGAAAGGGAGUUUAAUUGCCUCAGGUAAAGCAUAGCUUAAGGAAAGUGUGGAGAGAGGCAGCAGCUCUUGAUAGACUGAGAGAUUUAUGUGCUUCAGCUGCUCCCGAUGAGCCCUGCUCGCCCCUGCUCCCCAUCGCAUGGUCUCCAUCCUUUGGGGCUGCCCCAUGUGUUGAAAUGUUUGGGUGUCUCUGGGGGACUGAGCCUUGGCUCACAUUAAUCCCCCCUCGCUAACCCGACAACAGGGAGGAAAUUGGCUUCAAUUAAAUGUGUAAAGUUUCAUUUCCCUUUGAAGUGCAGAGCAGCACAAGAGGCUGCUCAGGGAGCGCUAGAGAGUAACUAGAUAAAACCGGGCCCAAAACCUCAGAAGUGGGGACUGGCAAACUGAGGAAGGUGCUCGUCAUCAGGGCUGGACGAGGACCAGCAGAAGGAGCAACACGGUGAUGCUAGUGUGUCCAGGGCAGGGCCAGGCUGCAGGGAGCCUGGAAUGAGCAGAACAGUUCAUGCACCUUCCCCAGAUCAGUCAAAUUCAGCCACUGCUCCAGGGAAGAGAAGCAUCCUCUGCUUGGAGUCACACCAGGUAUGUUUGGUUCCUCAUGGACGUAGAGGUGGUACCUGUUCAUCGGCGCCUGCAGAGUGUGAGACCGAUGUCCCCAGUGUCCCUCUGCCUGGGACAGGGCCCCACAGCCUGUGCAGUUCCUGCAGCCCUGUGCUGUGCUGGGGCUGAGCACCUCCAAGUGGGACAGCUUCACCCAUCCAGGGACACCCACUGUGCCCUCGGUGAAAUGGGGACUAGAAGCACCUGGCCACAUUUUCUGCAUCUUCAGGAGCACUGUAGGAGUAACAGCUCACCAGCUACUGCCUGUCAUCCAUCCUCCUUAUUUCCUGUGCAGGACCUGAUUUAUGCCUGCAUCUCUUUCCUUUAUGCCAUCAGUGCAUGCUGAUAGAUAGCCCCUCUCUCUGCUCUCGCUGUCCCUUUGUGCUACAUCAAACCAUUAAUUCUUUGCCAAUGUAAACCUGUCUCGCCUUCAAGACUUUAAUUUUGCAGAAGCAUAAACACCUUAUAAUCCGUCUGCCUUCCUCCGGCUGGCUCCGAACCUUCCACUCCCCUUCCCUGGGCCUGAGGUUAUCUGGGGUGACAGAUGGGGGGGACAACGGCAGGGAAUGCCCCCGAGGCACCUGGCAGUGUGGGUGCACUCUCAGGAGAGGGUCAGAGGGGCCCAACAAGCCUUUAGGGCCAAAGCUCCAGCACCUGGCAGGGUAGGUAGGAGCCUGAGCUCUGAAAAGGGCUCUGAAUAAUGCCCACACCUCUGUGCAUGGAGAGCCUUCAUCCAGAAUGAGCAUCUCAAGAGGCUUUCAGUCCUGGUGGGAGACUGAAAACGGAGCCCUGGGAGGACCUGGGGGAUGUGCUCACUGCCCCCACUGUUUUGAUCCCAGCCUGGCUCCUGCUGAUGAGCAGAUCUGGGAUGGGAGCUGGGGCAUCCCCCACCAGGCUCGUGCUCACCUCUGCGGGUUGCUGCACGAUAAAUGGAAGUGCCCUGAGGUUCCUGGCUAUGACAUGGCUGGAAAGAAAGAGGAAAGUCCAGCUGGGUUAGAAAAAGAAGCUACAGACGUUUUGGGGCUGUGCUGAGAGACAGACGUAUCACUGAAGGAUAUGUUCUCUUUACAAAGAGGGACACAAUGCAUGAGGACACCUGGCAGGGCUGUGCAGAGCCCCCAGCAUGGGCAGCAAGGCUGGAGCGGGGCAGGGGGGCAGCAGGGCACUUCCUGUCUGCUGCAGAGGAUGCAGGCAUCCCCGGUGUGCCCAGCCCUGUGCUGACCCCCCCCACACACCCAUCACGGAGUCUUCACUGAAUCCCCGCAGCGUUUUGUCUCCCAUAACUUUCCUCUUUCCCUUUUUUGAUCCUUAUUUGAAUCAUUUGUCCCAAUCUUCGUCGAUUCCUACAGCACACAGAAAUAUGUGCCACUUCUCCCUUUGGGGAGUGGUGUUUCAUGGCUGUAAUCCAUUUAGUGCCAGGUUAUUAAAAUGAAGAUAUCUUUCAGCACUACAGACCUGUUAAUCAGGGGAAUGGCUUCAAAGGGCUUUUGUGGGCUCUGUUAAUUUGUGCUGCAUUGAGCCACGUAGAGCUGAGAGGAGCAUUAGGGAUGGGAGUGAAGGGAAUAAAUCAAUAAAGUGGAUUGAAGAGUGCUCGGCU